rnacentral:rRNA from 1 species
UGCGUAGGUGGCCGGGUAAGUCCGAUGUGAAAUCUCCGAGCCUAACUCGGAAACUGCAUCGGAUACUAUUCGGCUGGAGGGGUUGGGAGGGGGGGACGUGGAAUACUUGGUGUAGCAGUGAAAUGCGUAGAUAUCAAGUGGAACACCAGUGGCGAAGGCGAGUCCCUGGACAACUCCUGACACUGAGGCACGAAAGCUAAGGGGAGCAAAC